AGUGAACGCUGGCGGUAGGCCUAACACAUGCAAGUCGAACGGCAGCACAGUAAGAGCGCGCCCUUACGGUUGGCGAGGGGCGGGCGGGUGACGAAUACAUCGGAAUCUACUUUUUCUGGGGGGACAACGGAGGGAAACUGACGCUAAUACCGCAUACGACCUACGGGUGAAAUCAGUAGAGCUUGAGAGCUUGCGCGUUAGAAUGAGCCGAAGUCGCAUUAGCUAGUUGGCAGGGUAACGGCCCACCAAGGCGACGAUACGUAGCUGGUCUGAGAGGAUGAUCGGCCACACUGGAACUGAGACACGGUCCAGACUCCUACGGGAGGCAGCAGUGGGGAAUCUUCCACAAUGGGCGAAAGCCUGACGCAGCAACACCGCGUGAGUGAUGAAGGCCUUCGGGUUGUAAAGCUCUUUUAUUGGGAAAGAACAGAUGCAGAUUAAUCCACCGCUGUUCUGACGGUACCCAAAGAGUAAGCCCCGGCUAACUUCGUG
rnacentral:rRNA from 1 species